rnacentral:lncRNA from 1 species
UCGACUACUCGAACGGCGCGUGGUAAACUAAAUUAAAAGUUUGCUGAUUGCCAGUUGUAGCGGUAGUCAAAGGUGCGUGACAACUAACAACCGGCAUGCCGACGCAACUGCAUAUAAUUGUCGCUCGCUCGGCCUCAUCAUGAGUCGAGCUUGUGGAUAGGCACGCACGGCCCGCCUACUACCAGAGAACGGACCUUCCAUUCUAGUACUUUUAUCCCAGAUAACUUUAAAUUUGGGAUUAAAAUAUCUUUAGUCCCAGCCAAAAAUAAGGCACCGAAGGCUACCGACAGGAGGGGCUUUAAUCCCGGUUGUAAAGACUGACCAGGACUAAAGCUUCCCUUUAAUCUCGGUUGUAACAGCUAAAAGAUCAGGCACUAAUGCUCCCCUUUUGUCUCGGUUGGUAAUUCCAACCAAAACAAAAGAUUUAGUCCCGGUUGAAAUUCCAAUUUAUCCCGGUUGGAAUUAUUAACCGGAACAAAAGGGGCCUUUCCACACGGCCCCCUCUCUCUACACCUUCCUUAUCUUCUUCCAGACAGCGCUCUCCUCCUCUUCACCUUAUCUCUGCGCUCUCCUUCUUUCCAGCGCUUCCUCUCUCCCUCCUCCCUCUCCUCCUCUUUGCACCUCCCCUCCUCCCUCUCCUCCUCUCCUCCCACUCUGCACAACCGCCGCCCCCUCC